rnacentral:rRNA from 1 species
UACGUGGGGUGCAAGCGUUGUUCGGAAUCAUUGGGCGUAAAGCGUGUGUAGGUGGCUUGCUAAGUUGAUUGUGAAAUCCCUGGGCUCAACCGAGGAAGUGCAGUCAAAACUAGUAGGCUAGAGGAUGGCAGAGGAAGGUGGAAUUCCAAGUGUAGAGGUGAAAUUCGUAGAUAUUUGGAGGAAUACCGGCGGCGAAGGCGGCCUUCUGGACCAUUCCUGACACUGAGACACGAAAGCGUGGGUAGCAAACAGGG